CAUGGGUUGGACACGUGGCGGACGAAGGCUCUGCCAAUGCAGAUGCCUCAUUUUAAAAUAUAUACACAUAUAUUAGAUAACAAAAAUAAAAAUAUAAGAAAAAGGCUUGGGCUAUGACUAACCUCUUAGCCAAAUAUCCUAUAAAUGAUAAUGUGUGCCAAUAGCCACUUGUCAUUUCUUGGCAAGGUUUUCUUAGAAAGGCUACGCUAACCAGUUUGUCAAAUCUUUAGAUAUGAUGCACAAGUUGAAGGUUAGGCCCAAGUUAUUUGUAACCUAGGACAAAACAAAUUAGAUAACACGCCGUAGAAACCUGCAC
rnacentral:lncRNA from 1 species